GACAGAGGUCCCGAGUGUUAGGCGGAAUCACUGGGCUUAAAGCGUGUGUAGGCGGAUUUGUAAGUACCUUGUGAAAUCCCACGGCUCAACCGUGGAACUGCUUGGUAUACUGCUUAUCUUGAGCCACCUAGGGGCAACCGGAACAAGCGGUGGAGCGGUGAAAUGCGUAGAUAUCGUUUGGAACGCCAAUGGUGAAAACAAGUAGCUGGGGAUGUGCCGACGCUGAGACACGAAAGCCAGGGGAGCGAACGGG
rnacentral:rRNA from 1 species